AGAAGGAGGAUUUAGACGGUAAUAUCUUCUUUUCUGUCGUGCACAUCAGCAUUACAAUUCCUCAGCGUGUGACCUGCUCUAAAAAACCUGCAGCUCGAUGCUGUAAAGCAUUAAUUUUUAAGCUCGCUACAACCAGCAAACAGCUGUCUGUCCAAAGCAGUUGUCACAAGAACCAUCGGUCUGCUCAUCUGGAGGCAUCCAAACCUCUUGUCCCCUUUCUGUACUCAAUUUUGCCAAUACAAAAGCUGGCUUCAGCUGGAGCUUCCCUAAACUCGUUUCUUCCCAUACCCCAGCCCUGGGCUGCCAGAGCCCUUGUUCCAAAUACCUGCAAGCCACUCCCGCUGUCCUUACAUGUACGUGGCCCAGGCCACACCUCACCCAUGAAUGCCCUGACAGACAGGGGCACUGGGUGCACAUUUCUGGCUUCCUACACAGAGCUCUCCUACAACCACACACGUACCAUGGGAGGGUAUCACACUGUCAGUCCUCUGCACGCAUUAAGACAGGUAGCACAGGCUGUGAUUUAUGCCAAGUGUUCCAGCAGUGAGUACUCACUGCCUCAUAAGAAAACAGAAAAUAAAGCCAUAAAACCUCCUUUUGUAAUUUGCUUUAAGAAAAUACAUUCUAACAGACAUGUUUUCCUUCACUCAUCAAGCUCAAGAGGUUCCAAAUGAGUAAAAACCCUGAAGAGAUUUCUGAAAAUGCCUGGAGAGGUUUGGGUGCUCAUCAGCAACACCUACCCAGAACUUACAAACUCUGCUCUUACAAACUCUGUCAGACACUUCUUUAAUACAUCGGGGGCAAUGAUUUGACACUGCAAUCCAACAUUUGUGCUGCUUGGUAAGAUGCCUCCUUUGGAAACAUCCCUGCUUUGUCCUUUAAAUCAUUUCCAGCAUUACCUUCUGCUGCCUUAAUCACACGACACUGCUACCAAAGGAGCUUCUAUUCCCUGCCCAGGUAGUAAGAGAGCUGUUUUGCAUGAGCUGGGAGAGAUGGGCAGCACAUGGAGCUGAGAGAGGAUUCGUAUGAACUGGCUGGGAGGACUGCUGCUGGAAGAGCUCUGCCCAAUUUACAUAAAAUUAGCAGAGCCAGAUGCAAUAUUGCGAGACCUGUGUAAGCAACCUGGACAAAUAGUGCACUUGUGAAAUACCUCCAAAGGAACUCAGCCCAAAAGGAAGUUCAGCUGAGGGCAGGAUGUGGCCCUACAAGAGGAAAGUGCAGGUUUGUUAGUGAUUUGACAAUUCAUUGAGCAGGCAGCCAUGCUGCAACAGCCCCGGCAAGGAGCACGCACAGCCUCUGAAUUAAAGCAAGAGACAGACAGCAAGUUACAAAGGCAAAGGGAAAAGCAUCAGUGUCAGGCCAAAUAACAUAAUGUUUAUUGCUCGAGUUCCUAAAAGAAUAAAGUAAGCCACAGAUCAUUUAAAAGCCUCUUCAGAUGAUAUGGGCUUUAAUAAAGGGCAUGGGCGAAACGAGGACGGAUGUUUAAAUGCUGCCGACCACUUAAUGCCUUCUGCAGAUGCAAAGUGGCCAGAAGGAUGUGAGGGGAAGCCUGCAAGGGCUGCGUUUAAGCGCAGGACUGUCAGAGGCAUCCACUCUGCUCCUGCUCUGCAGCUGGAUGACAAGAGAUGAGAUGUGACACUGCUCUGUGCUGGUACAGGCACACACUUCCACCUGUCCUACAGGCACACAGACCACGGGUGUCUGGUGCUGAAUGCCAUCUGCUGAGGCCAAGGUGCAGGGCAGGGAAAUGCUGACACACGGGUUCAGCAUCACCACCUUCAGGGAUGUUACAGAGCUGUCCUACAUCAGCCUUGGUGCUGCUGAGCAGGAGAAAAAUCUCACAGCAACAGAAGGUAACACGGAACAGAACACCAGCAGCAGCAAAGGGAUCCCAGACUACUGAAGUAAGGACAGGGAAAAAUGGUGUGGUUUGGUAACAAGGUAAGAGAAGGUAACAGGACAGGCCGUGUUUCUCUAGUAGAAAGUAUUUUUAGAGCAAACAAGGACAUUCAAAGAACUGUGAAAAGCUAAGAGAAUUCAAACCCCUGUGACUGUCAGUCCUCAUUCCACUGCCACAAUGCACCUUGCAGCUCCCCAUCAAAGGGGUCAGGAAUGCCUUUUCUAAAUACCUCAACAAGGCUGUUAUGGGGGUGCUGGGGUCAAAGGAGGACCAAAAUGUAAAAGCAAGUUCCCAAAGUUUAAGUCAUAGAUGUAAUUCUGCUUUUCUACCAUGUCCCCAUGGAGGUCUCAGAACCAUCUCUAUGGUGGACCUUUUCUUGACAAGGGACACUGGAGAAACCAGCAGUGGUGCCAGCAGAUGUGGUUACAGAGCAAACACUUGCGUGUUCAUACGCUUAAAAACACAGCAUUCAUUCUGUAAUAAGGACAAUCAGUGUGACCACAAGUCUUCAUCUAGAGGCUCUUAAGAAACAGCUCCACGGUGGGCAAUCGCCAGCUCACACCUCCAUCAGCACCAGAACGGGAGGCAGCAGAUGGAAUGGUUUUUAAGAGGGUUCUGAAAGAGAACCAGGUGACUUCAGAACAGGCAGAGCGCUAGGGGAUGGGACAGGAAUCACAGGAGGUACUGAAGAGCUCUGAAGGGAGGAAUAAUGAACAGGCACUGCAGUCAAGAUGACGGAGGAGGCGCGGGACGAAGGACUGCAUUAAUUUCACAAAGUUGUUGAACAAAACAUGUAAGCGCCAGAUGUUCCUGCUUUUCCAAAAUCGACGUUUCCUACCUGCUUCAUUUGAAAGUGUCACAAAGCAUUUAAAAGAAGAUGUAACUCACUAAACGUGGAAAUGAUGAUGUUGAAGAUAUCAUGAUGGCGUCGAAUGAAUCAGGAGGAGGAGGCUGAUUCACCCAAGGGAUGCCAGGAACGAACAGUGCCUGAGCCAAGCUGUCCUGCUCUGCAGGCUGCCACACUGCAGCUGCAGAUGGAGGCUGGGAAUUUUGGUCACAUCUAUAAAUGAGCUUGAUGUAACAAGUGUGCAAACAUGAAAAACAAACAACCUGGCACAAACCACAAUCAGGUCAGGAGAGCUGCUGUGCUGAAACACACCUGGCAAUGACAGCACUGCCCCUGUCCUUCCUGAGCAACGUGUCAGUCCUCUGCUGUUCUCCCUGCCUCAAAAUAAAACCUGGAAUUUGUGCUGCCUGUGCGAGCAGCUGCAGGAACUGGAGUCCCUUUGGGGAGCCGUGGGGCGCAGGCUGCUCCAAGUGCUUCAAUCUGUCUGUGGGACUGUGGCUCUCCAGCCUGGGAGCUCUGUAAAAAGCCUUGUGACAUGCAUGGAAAUUAAGUUCAAAACUUCAAAUCAAUCAGAAAUAGAGGUUUUAGAAAGGGAAGCCCAUUUUCUGGUCAUGGAGCCUGGCUCUUAAGUCUGGCCAUUGCCAUUUCUUGCCUCGGCCUCAUUUACGUAACCCAUUAUCCACCUAGCAGUGACAAUCUAGAUAUCCAAAGUCUUAUGAAAAUGAAUGCAAAAUGAUGAGCAAUACACAAAAUGGGAAAAACAGACAAUGCUCCACAAAUCUGCUCUGCAUUUUAAUCCUGCUAGCAACCACUACUACACAGACACAAGACAGCAAUGACGGGCUCAGGAUGCCUUCUCCUCCCCUCUCCCAGCCACCCUGGCUAACACCAGGUAUGAAAACAUACCUUAAGCACUCAGACAGGUCAGCCCUAUUGCUGAUGGAGCAUAUGGCCUGCGUGCCUGUGUGAUGUAUGUCUGGACAGAGCAGCUGGUUGAACCAUUAAUCUUUGUCAGCAGCACAUGCCUAACCCCAGAUGCCCACAUUAAGCAGCUCUUCAUAUCUAAUGGAAGAGCUGUCAUAGACAGAGGGCUCAGCAAGUACUCAAAGAGCUCAAACAAGGCACUGCCACCAAAUUCAAAUGCGGGAGGCACAAGCUGCACCAUUAUCCUUCAGGCAGGCCACUCACCCAUCUGGAAUAGGAUCCUUGUUUUGUAGUUACACCAGCAGAAAGGAUCAGUCACCUCAAAGGCAUCUUAACAAAUCUACCAAGCAAAACCAGCAGGUGAGAUCUCUCUUACAAACAGACCUGCCUUGCGUUUAGAAAGCAGCCAGCAUGUGGAUGAUGUAGAGGCGGGGAAAUCAAAGGCUGUUGAGAAGCUCUGCAGACCUAAAGCCAGAACUACAGCUCAGCACAGACAACCUCAUAAAGGUGUGCACGCCUGCACGUGUGCUCAGGAGGAAAUUCAAGAGAGCUGAUGCAGCCCCAGAGUCCUGUUUCACAGAACACGCUCCAUCUCAGUCAUAAAUCCACUGGUACACAUUUAGCAUCUGGAUCUCCAUCUGCACAGUGGUCACAACAUCCAGUUUCAGCUAGGGGAAUCAGACCUUCACUCUAUCAAACAUGCGAAGCUUAAGAUUUACAUCGACAAAUUAUUCCGGCCAUCAUCUGGCUGGAGUAAUAUCCCAGGGAUUAGUGAUCAAAUCCUACAAAAAAACCCCUAACUUUCCAGGUAAAUACACUCUUACAUGAUGUCUGGUACCCACUACAGAGCAACUGAUUUAUUUUCUAACAGAUGCUUGGACAGAUUUGGCAGAAGGACAGAAAUACGGGACCUUCUGUGUCUGUGUACGUUGAGGGCGGUGGGCACUGCAAUUCUUCAUUAUCUAAACCAAACAUUUUGGAGUCAGGGUGAAGGGACUGAUUGAAGUACACAAUUAUUCCUGCAUAAAAGCACGAAACACUGGGCAUUUAACUGUAUGAAAUCAUCUACAAUACGAAUAACUUGUAGGAAGGACACAUAUAGUCAAAAAUAGGCAGAAUAUGGCAAGACUACCUGAAAUGUAGCUGCUUCCAUGUGAAACACUUGGCAACGCAGGGAAAUAUUCUGUAUUUCAGAGCUUCUCAAAAUUCUGCCAGAGCUCUGUGAUCACAAUGACUCACUGAAGUUGUACAAAGAAAAGAAUCAAACAGGGACAUUUGAGACUAUCCAGAAGGAAAUGAAGCAUGGUAAGAAAACACACUAUUUUUAUCGAUGCUUUGUUUCACACAGCAAUUGCAAUGCUCCAGUCAGCCCAGCGCCGCGCUUCCAGCAGCUCCUGGAGCAGCUCUCCUGUGCCUGCAGCUGCAGCCAGGCCUUGGCAGCCCUGCCCUGACACAGGGGAGGCUGGGGAUCCAAAGCCUUGCAACUGAUGUCUCAAUCUGCAUCUCACAGCCUCGUGGGAAUAAUCUGCUUUUUGCCCUGUUUGUUUGCUUGUUUCUCUUCUUUCCCUAUUGAAAAAAGAGAUUAAAGACUGAAAAACUUUUUGGCCCCGCAUCUGGAAGACUGACACAGAAGCUAGGAGAAAGCUCCUACACAUUUGUUUUUCCUACAAAGAGCCAUUCUGAACACUUGGCUGGCACGGCCGAAGGAAGAAAGUUCACACGGGAGAAGAAAAUUACUUACUUGAUUUGCUUUGCAAUUCUUACCUAUUGUACCUUAAGAUUAUCUCAAUGCACAGAACACCCAUAAGCUACAUAACAAGUUGAGUCAGUGGCUGUAAGCAUUAAUUUUGUGUCAUUUUCGCCUCAAUGUUUUUCAUAAGGACCUUUUGCUCUUUGCAGGACGCUGCUCCUCCUGCAGCUGGUUGCAUUUUGCCCUGUUUCCUGUGGCACUGGCUUUAGGAUGAUGCUGUGCCUCUCCAAGGAGCACCCACACACCUCCCCGCUCCUCACUAAACACCUGUUCCUUACAGCCCAAAGAUCUGGAGUUAACUCUUGCUGAAGCUGCCCACGCCAGGACUGCACCACACAUCACCCCUCACUUGCUCUGUUUUCUUGCUGUCACCCCACAGGCAGAGGCCAUGCAGUGCUGCCAUGCUGCUCUGACCCCCAGGGCUGGCUGGGAGGCACCAUAAGAGCACAGGGAGCACAGUUCUCAGCUCACAGCUCCCAAAUGAUCACCAUAAAGAUUCCUGCCCUGUGCCUCCCAAGCUGCCCCAAGCUGAGCCCAGCAGGAUGCCCCAGGCUUAGGUGGAUUUUCACACCUGUGUUUUUCUGCAUUGAAGAAAACACAGCCUGCUUACUAGCAGCUUAUAAGGACCUGCUCCUAGCUUCAUUUUCCAUAUCAUAGAUCCCAAAAUUAUCACUAUCUUCAUGCCUCCUCCUCUGCUCCCAGCUCCAUUUUGCUACAAGCAGGAGCACAGUUCGUAAGCAGGACAUUUAAGUCACUUCCACUUACAUCCAGCCCCAGGUUUGCAUUCACAUGCCUGUGUGCCAGCCCUCCACGUACUUCAACACAGCAAAAAGCACUCUGCAGACUGAUGAGUUGAAAUGCCUGGAAGCAAAACACGCAGAGAUUGCUUUGCACGAUCUCCAGCUGUAAUGGCAGUGACCAGGCAGUGGACAGAGGCUGAUGCACCAGAGGAGAAUCACAGAAUCAUAGACAGAAUCAGAGAAGUUGACUUACGACUUCCACUUCUUUGUUCCAGUAUAUAAAAGGUACUUAGACCACUCUCCUUGCCUUUUUGGGAUUUGCUUCAGGAGUCUCUGCAGAGGAUGCUUCCUCCUGUUGCUACAAUGCCAUCAGUGCUGACACAGACUUUUCUGGAGCAACACAACCCUUCCCAGAAGGGAAUGCUGCCAACCAAGUGAUUUUCUAUAUAUAUGCUGUAUAUGGAUAAUUAUCCUAUCAGCUUCCUCACAUAACAGAAGCACUUCUGUAGCCGAGGGCUCACAUGGUAACAGCAACCCAUGCAGAAGGUGCAGGAAUUUUGAGCCAUUUGUUCUGGUGCCCGUUUGUGUGGCUCUGUACAGCAUUUCCCUGACUUGAAGCAGUGAAAGUUUGGGGGUUUCAGGGAACAGUGGCAUUUCUGGAAGCUGUUCUCCUACUGCAUUCCACAGCCCAUACUGUGCCUGUGAAGAAAACACACGGUCCUUGCCCACCUCUCAGCCCAGAACUGAAUCUUUAUCCUAUUGCUGAUUCCUUCUAUGUAAAUCCAGUGAAUCAGUAGCUGCUCAGGUUUCUGACAUUGUUUCUCUGCUGGCCACUCCUGUCCUGUGCUGGUUCUUCACAGUAAGCCUUCAUGACACAGAACUGCAACUUCAAUGUUAACUUUUACGCAGCAGCCUUCAUGCAACCUGCAACCCCUGCGUGGGACUCCCUGCACUCUGCAUUUUGUUGGUGUGGCAGUAGGUGUGACCAGCAUACGUAACCACCUGCCUCAUCAGAAAUCUAUAAGCAGCAAAUUGCUUUUCAAGCAUUUCAAAAUUGGAAUGUAUGGAUGUGGAACAGCAGUCAUUAAAAGAAGACGUUAAUACAAGAAGAGCCAAUUUAUUUUUAUAAAAGAUGUAAUCUAAUCCAAGACUCCUCUGAAGCCUGUUUAAUCAGUGACACUCAUUGACUGCGCAGGGUGGGUGAGCUCUGCUAAAUGCUGGCUGUGCUACAGCAGCACGGAGCGAGCAGGGAAAGGAUGGUGCAGACACUGCCUGGUGCCCUCGUAAGGCAAUGAGUGGUGCUCAGAGCAAACCCUGCCACUUACGGAUGGGACAGCAGCUCCUGCAGGUCCAUCAUGCACCUAUGGGGCGAUGGGCUCCAGCACGUACUGUUGGAAGCAAGCACCCGAUCUGUGGAAGUUCUAUUCUGUAAUUAGUUCCUGAAAUUCUGACUACAAUUUCACUAUAGAUCUACAGAUAACUUUAAAGGCUUUAAAGAAUGAGAAAGUCAACAAAUCGCUGGUAAAUGCAGCUGCAAGUGGCAGCAGACUGUCACAUCAAAAGGCUGCAGCGAUGCUCUUUCCUUUCAUGAGCCAUGCUGGGGCAUUUUCACUGUUGCUUCCUCAACACCUACAGCUUGUAUGAUCAGAAAGCUUGCUAUGGCUAAGCUCUCUUCUUAGACAUCUUAAAUUCAAAAUGCUGUUACAAAACAGCUUUCGCAGGCUCUCGAAGUAAGUGCUUCUUGGAAACAGAACUCAAAGCCAAAGUUACAAGCAAGGAUCCAGGUUUUUGAGCUGCGAUAAACAAAAUCUUUCACUAAUUUACAAUUGGCAAGAUCUGUGCUUAGCAAGAAGGCAAAGAAAACUUCCCCAGCGCUUUGCUAGGCAAACGGGAGCACAAGCAACUAUUUCAAGUAUUUCACAGCAGUACUUUUCCUCUUCCAUUCAGAAAGAGACGUUCAGCAUUUUAUUUUCUAAACAUUUAGCUGUAACAACCAAGGACUUUUGUUCCUUCAUGCCGACACACGGCAGACUUGCCCCUUUCCCUUCCCACCAGGGGAGGCACAAAGAUGCAGGAACACAGGUAAGCCCUGCGCAAAGCUGGAAGAAAUCCUUGUGCUUCAACAAGCAGAAUUCCAGCAACACAUGCCCUCAACCAAAAGAAUGCAGGCAGGCUUCCAAGUCCUGCCUGGCUUCACAGGAAAGCACAGCGACCCCUAAUGUGGUGUGAUUUCAGCUCUGGGAGCCCAGCCCAGCAGCACUGACCCAGCUGGCUGCUACAGAGCACACAGCUCUUCCCAGCGGUUCUUCCUGGGCCACAAAGCAGAGUUUAAAUGCUAGAUUUAGUCUCCAGCUUUGCCUUCUGCAUUAACUGGCUGAUCACUCAGCAAACAGCAAGGCUGAUGUGACUCAAAUGACUUCUCUGGAGGAAAAGCAACCCAACCACACAGCCCCAGUGCUGCUGUACAGCGGCAUGCUGUUGUAGUGACUUCUCUGAUGAACAAUUUUCCACGCCUUCUCUUUGCUGUAAUAAUUAAAUUUCAAACCUGCGAUGCCUGAGCCCUCUGGUGAUGCGGGCAGUGAAUGGAUUCUUGUCGACACCAACAAAGCUUCCAAGCCUUGUUUGUCUGCAGAGCUGCACCAUCCUGGCUUCAGCUGAAGAAGGCAAGUUAUCGCAAGGGACCGACUAACCGCUCUACCUGAGAUACUGCUUUUAUAAUUAACUCUACAGAUUGAUUUCCGCAGAAAUCGUUCUUUAACCAGGAGUUCCCUACUCCCAGAAUGGCCUCUGCACUGCUAAGCUAUUUAAGAAGUUACCUGGGGACUUAAUCAAGUGCAUUAAAUUUCAGUUUCAUCCUUUCCACCACGGCAAUGCCUUGAAUUAAAUUUCAUACAUUAUAUUUCCUUGUGAUAUUGAUAUAUUCACUUGAGUUUCAGAGCGUAUUAUAAUUACUGAUUGACUUGACUCACUCUGAAUCCAGCAUCUUUCUGGAAAAAUACCAUCUAAGCAAAAAAAAAAAAAAAAAAAAAAAAA